AUGGUGAAUGAAGGUAUAGUGCUUGGGCAUAAAAUUUCUGAACGAGGUAUUAAAGUAGAUAAAGCUAAAUUUGAUGCAAUUGAGAAAAUGACAUAUCCUAAAGAUAUUAAAGAAGCCUUUGAAAUAUUUAAGAAAACAUUAAUCUCUGCAUCCAUUGUUCAACCAUCUGAUUGGAACCUACAAUUUGAAAUUAUGUGUGAAGCUAUUGAUUAUACUGUUGGUGUUGUUCUAGGACAAAGAGUUGAUAAGAAAUCGAAUGUUAUUCAUUAUGCUAGUAAAACUCUAGACAAUGCUCAAAGAAAUUAUGCUACUACUGAGAAAUAA
rnacentral:rRNA from 1 species